rnacentral:rRNA from 1 species
GCCCUUAGAGUUUGAUCCUGGCUCAGAACGAACGCUGGCGGCAGGCCUAACACAUGCAAGUCGAGCGCGUCCUUCGGGGCGAGCGGCGGACGGGUGAGUAACGCGUGGGAACGUGCCCUUCGGUGCGGAAUAUACCAGGGAAACUUGGGGCAAUACCGCAUACGCCCUUCGGGGGAAAGAUUUAUUGCCGAGGGAUCGGCCCGCGUUGGAUUAGGUAGUUGGUGGGGUAACGGCCUACCAAGCCGACGAUCCAUAGCUGGUUUGAGAGGAUGAUCAGCCACACUGGGACUGAGACACGGCCCAGACUCCUACGGGAGGCAGCAGUGGGGAAUCUUGGACAAUGGGGGAAACCCUGAUCCAGCCAUGCCGCGUGAGCGAUGAAGGCCUUAGGGUUGUAAAGCUCUUUCGCUGGGGAAGAUAAUGACGGUACCAAGUAAAGAAGCCCCGGCUAACUCCGUGCCAGCAGCCGCGGUAAUACGGAGGGGGCUAGCGUUGUUCGGAAUUACUGGGCGUAAAGCGCGCGUAGGCGGACUGGAAAGUUGGGGGUGAAAUCCCGGGACUCAACCCCGGAACUGCCUCCAAAACUGUCAGUCUUGAGGUCGAGAGAGGUGAGUGGAAUUCCGAGUGUA